GAGCAAAAUUGAAGACAAAAUACAUUUCAUACGAUUCAAGGACUGUUGAGUUUUGAGGAGGAAAAAAAAACUAAUACAAAUGACCAAACCUCCUCUGAAUACAACAAACUACAUUUAAAAAACACAACUCACAACCAAAUGAAAACUAACUCCCAUGGAGAUUCCAAAAGUAUGAUAACCCUGAUGAAAAUGCUACAUUUUCUAUUUCAUUACACCCGGAAAAAAAAAAACAACUUUUCAAUGCACUCAAGGAAAAGAAAACUUCAGCACCAGUUAGAAGGUACAUAAAAUACAAUCAGCCUUGGCACACACAAACCUGAAACCUGCUCAGAUGAGAAGUGAAAACUUCAAUGAUAACUGCUUGUCUCAUCAUCACACUUGUGAUUCUUAAUGUGAUUCUUCCACGAGAAUCUUUGGCCACAAACUGCGCAGGCAAAAGGUUUCUCACUAGUGUGUGUUCUUGUGUGUAUUUUUAAGCCUCCCUUCUCAGAAAAUCUUUGGCCACAAACUGUGCAGGCAAAAGGUUUCUCACCAGUGUGGGUUAUUGUGUGACGUUUUAAACUUCCCUUUUGAGAGAAUCUUUGGCCACAAACUGCGCAGGCAAAAGGUUUCUCACCAGUGUGGGUUAUUGUGUGACAUUUUAA